CUGAUGUCAACAGCAAUCCAGGAGGUGGCGGCCUGGAAAGUAACAGGGGUCACACCAUCCAGACUGUGAGCUCCCCCAGCAUCUCCCCUCUAAUGUGUACAGCCACUGCACCGUGGCUCAAGAACUCGUCGGACGGCACACCGUUCAUGCACC